rnacentral:rRNA from 1 species
AAAAAAGGUAAGCUACUAAGAGCGAAUGGUGGAUGCCUUGACUGGUAAAGGCGAUGAAGGACGUACUAGACUGCGAUAAGCUACGGGGAGCUGUCAAGAAGCUUUGAUCCGUAGAUUUCCGAAUGGGGCAACCCAAUGUAUAGAGAUAUACAUUACCUAUAUAGGAGCGAACGAGGGGAAUUGAAACAUCUUAGUACCCUCAGGAAAAGAAAUCAAUAGAGAUUGCGUCAGUAGCGGCGAGCGAAAGCGCAAGAGGGCAAACCCAGUGCUUGCACUGGGGGUUGUAGGACUGCAAUGUGCAAGAGCUGAGUUUAGCAGAACAUUCUGGAAAGUAUAGCCAUAGAGGGUGAUAGUCCCGUAUGCGAAAAACAAAGCUUAGCUAGCAGUAUCCUGAGUAGGGCGGGACACGAGGAAUCCUGUCUGAAUCCGGGUCGACCACGAUCCAACCCUAAAUACUAAUACCAGAUCGAUAGUGCACAAGUACCGUGAGGGAAAGGUGAAAAGAACUGAGGUGAUCAGAGUGAAAUAGAACCUGAAACCAUUUGCUUACAAUCAUUCAGAGCACUAUGUAGCAAUACAGUGUGAUGGACUGCCUUUUGCAUAAUGAGCCUGCGAGUUGUGGUGUCUGGCAAGGUUAAGCAAACGCGAAGCCGUAGCGAAAGCGAGUCUGAAUAGGGCGCUUAGUCAGAUGCUGCAGACCCGAAACGAAGUGAUCUAUCCAUGAGCAAGUUGAAGCUAGUGUAAGAACUAGUGGAGGACUGAACCCAUAGGCGUUGAAAAGCCCCGGGAUGACUUGUGGAUAGGGGUGAAAGGCCAAUCAAACUUCGUGAUAGCUGGUUCUCUCCGAAAUAUAUUUAGGUAUAGCGUUGUGUCGUAAUAUAAGGGGGUAGAGCACUGAAUGGGCUAGGGCAUACACCAAUGUACCAAACCCUAUCAAACUCCGAAUACCUUAUAUGUAAUCACAGCAGUCAGGCGGCGAGUGAUAAAAUCCGUCGUCAAGAGGGAAACAACCCAGACUACCAGCUAAGGUCCCUAAAUCUUACUUAAGUGGAAAACGAUGUGAAGUUACUUAAACAACCAGGAGGUUGGCUUAGAAGCAGCCAUCCUUUAAAGAAAGCGUAAUAGCUCACUGGUCUAGUGAUUUUGCGCGGAAAAUAUAACGGGGCUAAAGUAAGUACCGAAGCUGUAGACUUGCACACAACUUAGAUUAUUUAAGUUUAGAAUAUGAGAAACUAAGUUAUGUUUAGUUAUAUUUUUACUGAUUUUUAUAGAGUAAAGAUAGAAAUAAAACUUAGUAAAAUCAGUAAAAAUAUUCUUAGGCUAAAGUUAAGUAGUUUAAGUUGUGUGCAAGUGGUAGGAGAGCGUUCUAUUUGCGUCGAAGGUAUACCGGUAAGGAGUGCUGGAGCGAAUAGAAGUGAGCAUGCAGGCAUGAGUAGCGAUAAUUAAUGUGAGAAUCAUUAACGCCGUAAACCCAAGGUUUCCUACGCGAUGCUCGUCAUCGUAGGGUUAGUCGGGUCCUAAGUCGAGUCCGAAAGGGGUAGACGAUGGCAAAUUGGUUAAUAUUCCAAUACCAACAUUAGUGUGCGAUGGAAGGACGCUUAGGGCUAAGGGGGCUAGCGGAUGGAAGUGCUAGUCUAAGGUUGUAGGAGGUUAUACAGGCAAAUCCGUAUAACAAUACUCCGAGAACUGAAAGGCUUUUUGAAGUCUUCGGAUGGAUAGAAGAACCCCUGAUGCCGUCGAGCCAAGAAAAGUUUCUAAGUUUAGCUAAUGUUGCCCGUACCGUAAACCGACACAGGUGGGUGGGAUGAGUAUUCUAAGGCGCGUGGAAGAACUCUCUUUAAGGAACUCUGCAAAAUAGCACCGUAUCUUCGGUAUAAGGUGUGGUUAGCUUCGUACUAGGAUUUACUCCGAAAGCGAAGAAACUUACAACAAAGAGUCCCUCCCGACUGUUUACCAAAAACACAGCACUCUGCUAACUCGUAAGAGGAUGUAUAGGGUGUGACGCCUGCCCGGUGCUCGAAGGUUAAUUGAUGGGGUUAGCAUUAGCGAAGCUCUUGAUCGAAGCCCGAGUAAACGGCGGCCGUAACUAUAACGGUCCUAAGGUAGCGAAAUUCCUUGUCGGUUAAAUACCGACCUGCAUGAAUGGCGUAACGAGAUGGGAGCUGUCUCAAAGAGGGAUCCAGUGAAAUUGUAGUGGAGGUGAAAAUUCCUCCUACCCGCGGCAAGACGGAAAGACCCCGUGGACCUUUACUACAGCUUGACACUGCUACUUGGAUAAGAAUGUGCAGGAUAGGUGGGAGGCUUUGAGUAUAUGACGCCAGUUGUAUAUGAGCCAUUGUUGAGAUACCACUCUUUCUUAUUUGGGUAGCUAACCAGCUUGAGUUAUCCUCAAGUGGGACAAUGUCUGGUGGGUAGUUUGACUGGGGCGGUCGCCUCCCAAAUAAUAACGGAGGCUUACAAAGGUUGGCUCAGAACGGUUGGAAAUCGUUCGUAGAGUAUAAAGGUAUAAGCCAGCUUAACUGCAAGACAUACAAGUCAAGCAGAGACGAAAGUCGGUCUUAGUGAUCCGGUGGUUCUGUGUGGAAGGGCCAUCGCUCAAAGGAUAAAAGGUACCCCGGGGAUAACAGGCUGAUCUCCCCCAAGAGCUCACAUCGACGGGGAGGUUUGGCACCUCGAUGUCGGCUCAUCGCAUCCUGGGGCUGGAGCAGGUCCCAAGGGUAUGGCUGUUCGCCAUUUAAAGCGGUACGCGAGCUGGGUUCAGAACGUCGUGAGACAGUUCGGUCCCUAUCUGCCGUGGGCGUAAGAAGAUUGAAGAGAUUUGACCCUAGUACGAGAGGACCGGGUUGAACAAACCACUGGUGUAGCUGUUGUUCUGCCAAGAGCAUCGCAGCGUAGCUAAGUUUGGAAAGGAUAAACGCUGAAAGCAUCUAAGCGUGAAGCCAACUCUAAGAUGAAUCUUCUCUAAGCUCUCUAGAAGACUACUAGUUUGAUAGGCUGGGUGUGUAAUGGAUGAAAGUCCUUUAGCUGACCAGUACUAAUAGAGCGUUUGGCUUAUCUUUAAUAAAGCAU